rnacentral:rRNA from 1 species
CUCAGGAUGAACGCUGGCUGUGUGCCUAAUACAUGCAUGUCGAACGAAGCACUUGUGCUUAGUGGCGAAUGGGUGAGUAACACGUACUUAAUCUGCCCUCAAGUCUGGGACAACAGUUGGAAACGACUGCUAAUACCGGAUACGUAAUAACCUCGCAUGGGGAUAUUAUAAAAGGAGCGUUUGCUUCGCUAGAGGAUGAGAGUGCGCCAUAUUAGCUAGUUGGUAGGGUAAAGGCCUACCAAGGCGAUGAUAUGUAGCGGGGUCGAGAGGCUGAACCGCCACACUGGGACUGAGAUACGGCCCAGACUCCUACGGGAGGCAGCAGUAGGGAAUAUUCCACAAUGAACGAAAGUUUGAUGGAGCGACACAGCGUGCAGGAUGAAGGUCUUCGGAUCGUAAACUGCUGUUAUAAGAGAAGAACAAGCUUAAUAGGAAAUGAUUAAGCCCUGACGGUACCUUAUCAGAAAGCACCGGCAACUAU